GACGAACGCUGGCGGCGUGCUUAACACAUGCAAGUCGAACGGAAAGGCCCUGCUUUUGUGGGGUGCUCGAGUGGCGAACGGGUGAGUAACACGUGAGUAACCUGCCCUUGACUUUGGGAUAACUUCAGGAAACUGGGGCUAAUACCGGAUAGGAGCUCCUGCUGCAUGGUGGGGGUUGGAAAGUUUCGGCGGUUGGGGAUGGACUCGCGGCUUAUCAGCUUGUUGGUGGGGUAGUGGCUUACCAAGGCUUUGACGGGUAGCCGGCCUGAGAGGGUGACCGGCCACAUUGGGACUGAGAUACGGCCCAGACGCCUACGGGAGGCAGCAGUGGGGAAUAUUGCACAAUGGGCGGAAGCCUGAUGCAGCAACGCCGCGUGCGGGAUGACGGCCUUCGGGUUGUAAACCGCUUGCGCCUGUGACGAAGCGUGAGUGACGGUAAUGGGUAAAGAAGCACCGGCUAACUACGUG
rnacentral:rRNA from 1 species